rnacentral:rRNA from 1 species
UACGUAGGGGGCAAGCGUUGUCCGGAUUUAUUGGGCGUAAAGAGCGUGUAGGCGGCCAGACAGGUCCGUUGUGAAAACUCGAGGCUCAACCUCGAGACGUCGACGGAAACCGUCUGGCUAGAGUCCGGAAGAGGAGUGUGGAAAUUCCUGGUGUAGCGGUGAAAUGCGCAGAUAUCAGGAAGAACACCCGUGGCGAAGGCGGCUCUCUGGGACGGUACUGACGCUGAGGAGCGAAAAGCGUGGGGGAGCGAAACAGG